rnacentral:rRNA from 1 species
AGCGAACGCUGGCGGCAGGCUUAACACAUGCAAGUCGAGCGGGCGUAGCAAUACGUCAGCGGCAGACGGGUGAGUAACGCGUGGGAACAUACCUUUUGGUUCGGAACAACACAGGGAAACUUGUGCUAAUACCGGAUAAGCCCUUACGGGGAAAGAUUUAUCGCCGAAAGAUUGGCCCGCGUCUGAUUAGCUAGUUGGUGAGGUAACGGCUCACCAAGGCGACGAUCAGUAGCNGGUCUGAGAGGAUGAUCAGCCACAUUGGGACUGAGACACGGCCCAAACUCCUACGGGAGGCAGCAGUGGGGAAUAUUGGACAAUGGGCGAAAGCCUGAUCCAGCCAUGCCGCGUGAGUGAUGAAGGCCCUAGGGUUGUAAAGCUCUUUUGUGCGGGAAGAUAAUGACGGUACCGCAAGAAUAAGCCCCCGGCUAACUUCGUGCCAGCCGCCGCCGUAAU